AGUGAACGCUGGCGGUAGGCCUAACACAUGCAAGUCGAACGGCAGCACAGUAAGAGCUUGCUCUUACGGGUGGCGAGUGGCGGACGGGUGAGGAAUACAUCGGAAUCUACUUUUUCGUGGGGGAUAACGUAGGGAAACUUACGCUAAUACCGCAUACGACCUACGGGUGAAAGCAGGGGAUCUUCGGACCUUGCGCGAUUGAAUGAGCCGAUGUCGGAUUAGCUAGUUGGCGGGGUAAAGGCCCACCAAGGCGACGAUCCGUAGCUGGUCUGAGAGGAUGAUCAGCCACACUGGAACUUAGACACGGUCCAGACUCCUACGGGCGGCAGCAGUGGGGAAUAUUGGACAAUGGGCGCAAGCCUGAUCCAGCCAUACCGCGUGGGUGAAGAAGGCCUUCGGGUUGUAAAGCCCUUUUGUUGGGAAAGAAAAGCAGCAGGUUAAUACCCCGCUGUUCUGACGGUACCCAAAGAAUAAGCACCGGCUAACUUCGUG
rnacentral:rRNA from 1 species